UUGAUAAAAGCUAAUUGAGCAAUUCACUGUUAAUGAAUAGUAAAAGAAUAACUUUUUAUCAAG
rnacentral:tRNA from 1 species